rnacentral:rRNA from 1 species
GAUGAACGCUGGCGGCGUGCCUAAUACAUGCAAGUCGAGCGAACAGAUGAGGAGCUUGCUCCUCUGACGUUAGCGGCGGACGGGUGAGUAACACGUGGAUAACCUACCUAUAAGACUGGGAUAACUUCGGGAAACCGGAGCUAAUACCGGAUAAUAUAUUGAACCGCAUGGUUCAAUAGUGAAAGACGGUUUUGCUGUCACUUAUAGAUGGAUCCGCACCGCAUUAGCUAGUUGGUAAGGUAACGGCUUACCAAGGCGACGAUGCGUAGCCGACCUGAGAGGGUGAUCGGCCACACUGGAACUGAGACACGGUCCAGACUCCUACGGGAGGCAGCAGUAGGGAAUCUUCCGCAAAGGGCGAAAGCCUGACGGAGCAACGCCGCGUGAGUGAUGAAGGUCUUCGGAUCGUAAAACUCUGUUAUUAGGGAAGAACAAAUGUGUAAGUAACUAUGCACGUCUUGACGGUACCUAAUCAGAAAGCCACGGCUAACUACGUG